AGUGAACGCUGGCGGUAGGCCUAACACAUGCAAGUCGAACGGCAGCACAGUAAGAGCUUGCUCUUACGGGUGGCGAGUGGCGGACGGGUGAGGAAUACAUCGGAAUCUACUUUUUCGUGGGGGAUAACGUAGGGAAACUUACGCUAAUACCGCAUACGACCUACGGGUGAAAGCAGGGGAUCUUCGGACCUUGCGCGAUUGAAUGAGCCGAUGUCGGAUUAGCUAGUUGGCGGGGUAAAGGCCCACCAAGGCGACGAUCCGUAGCUGGUCUGAGAGGAUGAUCGGCCACACUGGAACUGAGACACGGUCCAGACUCCUACGGGAGGCAGCAGUGGGGAAUAUUGGACAAUGGGCGCAAGCCUGAUCCAGCCAUCCCGGGUGGGUGAAGAAGGCCUUCGGGUUGUAAAGCCCUUUUGUUGGGAAAGAAAAGCAGCAGGUUAAUACCCCGCUGUUCUGACGGUACCCAAAGAAUAAGCACCGGCUAACUUCGU
rnacentral:rRNA from 1 species